GCCGCCACCACGCCUCGCCUCUCCUCGAUCCCGUCCUUCGCCUCCACCUCCCACUCCCCGCCUCCAAGCGAUGAUGACGACCCAAGAUCUACAUGGCGACAACGGCUACUGCGGCUUGAUGGAAGCGGCGUCCAACCCUAGCCGCCGUGGCGCGCCUCUUCUACUCACAACAACGACCCACACCAUGGAUCUGCGGCAGAGGCCUCCCUUCUCUGUCUCCCAGGCUGCGUACCUGCCUCCUAUCCGCAGAUUUGGAGCAGCAAUCGUCGGACAAGGAGAGGACGACGACCGUGACCUAUGGGAGGCCCGACCUCGACCUCGCCGGCGACGUCUACGCCCCACACAAGAUCAGCAGGACCUCCCUGCCUCUCCGGUUCGAUGGGCGUUGAUGACCGGGGCCCUCGCUCAAGCUCGAUGACGAGGUCCUCUGUCCCGACCACCAUGAUUCCCCAGCAAAUAAGAAGGUCGACCCCCUCGCCCUGUUUAUUUUUCUUUUGAAGUGAUUGUUGUUCUGCUGUUUCGUAUUUCUCCAGGGGCUAUCCAUUUUUCUUGGACUGAAACUGAUGCAGAAAAUGUGGCCAACUUCGUUUUCCUGAUACUCACAAGUUACAGCCAACGAUAGACUAGUUAUGUUGGCUAUUUCCUUUUCCUUUCUCACCGUGCGAGCACUACCAAUGUAGAAUUUGUGAGAUCUGCUAGUUAGUUAAGCAACUACUAAUUUAAUAAUUAAAUGCCCAUGAGAUGCUCUUGUUGGUUCCUUCAAUUUUUCUUGUUUGUGGAAUAAAAGUAAUUGAGUAAUCUCACUCAAUCGAUUGACCAAGAGUAAGAUUGUUAACUAGAUCUGCUAUUACACUGUUGCUCUGUUAUAUAUUAUGUACAAAGUUUAUAUUUGUUAUCAUCAUUUGGUUGAUCAGUCCUCCUCGUCUACUCCUCGCCUACUCUCGCUCUCGCACUAAUUAUAUAUACAAGUCUAGUGUCAGAUCCGUGAAAUGUACUUACUACCAUCAUUUGUUUGUAGCAAAUAUUACAAAUUUUGUUCAUCGCACCUUGUCGUACUCAGAGGCAAGGCAUUAUUUGCUGCCAUCUUGGAUUGUAACAAUUGGGUUUAUUUACUACUCCCUCCGUUCCGAUUUGCUUGUCGUUGUUUUAGUUCAAAAUGAACUAAAACCACGACGAGUAAAUCGGAACGGAGGGAGUAUUAUUCUGUAAGAUUUUUCUAAUGCUAGUUUUCUGGUUUGUCUAGCUUGAAGAACCUCUAACAUUGGUUUUCAUGGAGACAAAAUGAGAAGCUGAUUCAUUGAGAUAUUGGCUAAACAAAAGAGGAUUCCUUGCAACGGCAAUCCCUGGUGACAGAAUACAGUAGGUAUGAUUGGGAAGCGGGCUACUUGGUGUUGCUCAUCACAAUCAGCCAAGACAUGAUGGUUGCCAUCAAGAGGGCCGACAACAAUAAUCUAAAUAACAGCCUUGAUAGUUUGUAUGUUCUGUUGAUGUAAAAUGAAUUGUACUCAUUCCUACGUGUGAUGUGUGGUAUAUCUUUGUCAAUCUAUAUUCUAAGUUAUCA